CUGGUGCACGUACGUAGCAGCGGGUUUUCGGCCGAAGAUGGCCGAAGAUGGCCGACGCGGCAGGUUUGGUGUGUCCCACCGCUCUCUGUCCGUCGUGUAAGCUAGCAGGCUGAAAAUGUAUGUAAUUUGUCUUAACGGCAAAAAAUAUUGUUCCGUGUUGAUGUAGGUUCGUCUGGCAUUUUACUUUUGUUUAAAAAAGAAAGAAAGAAAGAAAGAAAGAAAGAAAGAAAGAAAGAAAGAAAGAAAGAAAGAAAGAAAGAAAAUUUACCGUAGACAAAGGCUUAACUUCCUUUGCCUGCUACAAGAGGCUAAUGGAGAGAACAUCGAUUGUCUGUUGAUCGUCCCCCUUUGUUGAUUUUUACAGAGAAGCUUUUCACACUGCUACUGGAGGCUAAUGGAGAGAGCAGUGAUGGUGUUUCCAACCCAGGAAUGUGAAAUGGGCGAGAACAAGAGAGAAACGACGCCUCGUCCCACUCUCAGUACACUUAUACCCUGCUGCUUGCUGCCAAACCACCCAAGCCACAGCUGAUGAUGUCACCCAGCACCGGACUGGCCUCGGGAUCGCAGCUUAAUCUGAUAUCAUUGGCAGAGAGACACGCCAUCUCCAGCUAUCCAACAUCGCUGUCUUGCCUCGGCCUGCGCGGCUCCUAGGACUCUGCUCAUAAAGUUAAACCUCCCCCGGUUCACACGUUUGAUGUCUGUAGAGCCACGUUUAUAGAGCACGGCUGCACGGUGGUAACACUGAAACCAUCUAGAAACAAAGAACGAGCCACAAAAUCACGUCAGCACACGAGGCGGAGGUGAAGCCCAUUUAGUUUUACGUUGAGCAGAGUGAAUUCAAGCUGUGGUCUGGCUGCUGAACUAUGUUGGAAGUGGAGGAAAUGAGCAAUGAUUCUCUGGUUUUCGGCUGCAACCUGAAAAAACACAUUGAAAAUAAUAAAUAAUGCAGAGCCAAGAUGCUAUGCAGCGAUUUAUGCGGCGGCCCACUUUAUUUCAGCAUUCAGAUGGACGUAUUAAAAUCCAAACACGUGAUCACUGCUGAAUAUUUAUCGCUCAGACUCAGGCCUGUGACCUUGGCUUGGCAGAGAGCUCACAUCAUUUCAUCUUGAAAUAAAAAGAGACUGCCAGCAAUUAUGGCACGUUAAUUACAUAUUCACUUUCAUCUGUUGGAAAUCACAUAGAUCUGCCCUCAGUAAUGCUGUUGGCUGCCGUUUGAUGGAGGGGUGGGGGUCUAUCAGUUGCCCUGCGCUGCCCAUGUUUAAUCUUUGGGAGACAAGAGGAAAAAUGACUUGAAGUUGGUACAAGCAUAACUGGAGGAAGCGCUGUGGAGGUGUGGAUGAAGCACUCACAGUCGCUUCUUGUUGACCUGGAGUCUGUUUCGCACUCUGAUUCUGUAUGGCCAAGGAGAACUCUACCUCCUUCCACCCCUUGUCUCUUGGGGCAGAGAGUGAUGCUAAUUAUGCUGUCAUGUUCCAUUGGAGGGCCGCGAUGAAGAACAGGCAUAUGGAGGAGUCGAUCUGCUGAAGAACAAAAAAAGAGCAAAUGAAUGAGCACUAAGUCACCUGAAGGCAACCGAGGAGCAUCUGAUUACCAGCUGAUCUGGAGUUGUCCAGGUUCUACUCUGGUCUGGGUCAUCCUGGCUAUCAGAAGCAGUGCCCCCCCCCCCCCCCGAUUCGCCAACCCUCAGCCUGGUCUGGCUAGAGGUUUGCUGGGUUUCCCCUUUUUAUAAAACUUUCUGGUCUAUGACCUUGUCUUCUUCUGUAAUUUGUCUUGAAAUUGAAUUGAAUUGAAAGUCAAAGUGUGUGUUGAACCAAGCACUGUUCCUGAUCUACACACGUGCAGCGGAGCAGAGACGAUGCUCAGGUGAUGCAGUUUUACCAGGGCACAGACUGCGACAGUCGUAACGGACACUUUUCACGUCCACACACACGUUGUCAAUGAAUGUAAACCCCCGGGGGAAAUCGAACAGCUGCAGGCUUGUUAGACGCUGAAACCUACAUGCUGUUACACAGAACCGCAGCACUUCGCUACUGUCUGCAGUUAUGGGCAGUAAGUCAGGAAAAACAAACACAGUUGUGCUGCCUGGUUGUCGGCAGGAGAAAUGAUCUCUCCACAAUCCUCUGAGGAGAAAGAGCUGAGUGUGUGUGUGGACGACUGGAGAUGAGAAACAUGAGGAUUCAAUAAGCAGGAGUUCAAUCAACUGUUGAGAACAAAGUGUUACAAAAUAAAACAAAUGCAUACCACCAUUUACAUUAUAUGAUUAAUAAUUAGAUUUAUGUAAAGAGUCGCUUUGUCUUGUUUGGCAUAGAUUGGACUGUUGUGUUAUUUAUACAGAAAAUUAUUUAAAGAUCUUAGAUCUAAUGUCAGGGUCUAAUUAGGAACCAAAACAAACCCAAGGCCAUAAACCUUUACUCAUGAAAGAAGCUCUAGUAAGUUUCCGCAGCCGAGCCUGUAGAAUCUGUAGAGCAGCUGAUGUGAUCGGUCUGUGGUUACUUUCAGGUCAGACAAACUGUGACUGGUUAUUAAGUAUGUUAACGGUACAAAGCCGGUGUAUUUCUACAGUUUUACGUAUUCUCACUUUUCCCGUUCUCAAGCAGCAGAAGCAGCCUAUUGAUGCAGCACAUUUCAGUUUCCAGGUUUCAUUCAUUGGUUCUGGUCUUCCACCAGCUCAUGAAACCUUCCACCUGAAAACAGCUGUUUUAAUUUGAACCUCCAGUCUCCUGCUGUUGAGGGUGCGGUCAGGCAACAAUUGACAAUUUAUCUCCUCUUCAUCGCAGCGACAGGUCAGAGACAAGCUGAACACAUCUGGUGACAGUAGAAUAUUCACUGUGACACACACUGUUCUCUGGAGGUGUGUGUGUUCAUUCAGCCCCACUCAGGCCUCUAAUGGCUCCUGCUGCGAAGCACAAUUACUGCUUUUAUGCUGCGAGGUCACAGAGCAGGAACAUAAUGUGGCAGCAAAGUGGGAGGUGGAGGCCAGUGGUUGGGUUUGAUCUGGUCUCAUCUCGCUAUAAUUACUAAUGAUGAUUCCUUGUGCUGUAGCUCACCUGUUUA